AGUGAACGCUGGCGGUAGGCCUAACACAUGCAAGUCGAACGGCAGCACAGUAAGAGCUUGCUCUUACGGGUGGCGAGUGGCGGACGGGUGAGGAAUACAUCGGAAUCUACUUUUUCGUGGGGGAUAACGUAGGGAAACUUACGCUAAUACCGCAUACGACCUACGGGUGAAAGCAGGGGAUCUUCGGACCUUGCGCGAUUGAAUGAGCCGAUGUCGGAUUAGCUAGUUGGCGGGGUAAAGGCCCACCAAGGCGACGAUCCGUAGCUGGUCUGAGAGGAUGAUCGGCCGCACUGGAGCUGAGACGCGGUCCAGACUCCUGCGGGAGGCAGCAGUGGGGAAUAGUGGGCAAUGGGCGCAAGCCUGAUCCAGCCAUACCGCGUGGGUGAAGAAGGCCUUCGGGUUGUAAAGCCCUUUUGUUGGGAAAGAAAAGCAGCAGGUUGAUACCCAGCUGUUCUGACGGUACCCAAAGAAUAAGCACCGGCUAACUUCGUG
rnacentral:rRNA from 1 species